rnacentral:rRNA from 1 species
AGAGUUUGAUCCUGGCUCAGGAUGAACGCUAGCUACAGGCUUAACACAUGCAAGUCGAGGGGAAACGGACAUCGAAAGCUUGCUUUUGAUGGGCGUCGACCGGCGCACGGGUGAGUAACGCGUAUCCAACCUGCCCACCACUUGGGGAUAACCUUGCGAAAGUAAGACUAAUACCCAAUGAUAUCUCUAGAAGACAUCUGAAAGAGAUUAAAAGAUUUAUCGGUGAUGGAUGGGGAUGCGUCUGAUUAGCUUGUUGGCGGGGUAACGGCCCACAAGGCUACGAUCAGUAGGGGUUCUGAGAGGGAAGGUCCCCCANAUUGGAACUGAGACACGGUCCAAACUCCGUACGGGAGCA